GUGAGCGUCUGUAAGCGCAGCUUUCUAUUUCAUUUAGGGAUUUGAGCCACUUUUCCAUAAACAAAAUUCUGAUGCUGACACAGAGGAUGGAGUGAUAAUACCAGAGAUCAGCUGUCUCCAUCAGACAAUAAUAUUACUUUGUUCAGACAUAUCACCUUUGAAUGACUGGGAUCCUUAUCUUCAGACACCUGUUGUAUUUUAUUUUAAUAUGAUAAAAUAGCAAAUAUUUUAAUUUCUUUGGAGCUCUAGAUUAAAACAAUCACAGUACACAAGUGGUUGCAGUUUAUUCUUAUUAGUCUCUGCUGAUCAUGGAUUUGCAUAUCAACAGCAUAUGAAUGGGAUAGUUCAUCCAAAAAUAAAAUGAUCACUUAUUUUACUCACCCUCAUGCUGUCCCAGAUGCAUUUUACUUUCUUUCUACAUAUAAAUACAAAUUAAGAUUUUAAGGAAAGUAAUCCAUCUCUGCAAGUCCUAAAGAUGCUUUAAAAACCACACACAGUGACCGUGAUGUCCAUGUGACCUCAGUGGAUGAAUCAAUACCUUCUGAAGUGAAACAAUAGGAUAAGAAAAUACUAAUAAUGUAAACUGUUUUAACUAUUAAAAAUAACUUCCGACCAACUGCCAUACAUGGGUACAAUCCACUUGUGUUAUGUGGACUCACAUAGAUGUAUUAUUUCAUUAAAAAUCUUUGUGAUUAUACAUUUUAUUAUCUAUAUUAUGAGAAUACUGUGCAUUACAGUAUGCAGUUAAUGUUUUGUGGAUUCUGGUCUUUCCUGUCAUAACUGCAUCCAAGACUUUCACUUUGAUACUUGUGUAUAUGCUGUAGUGACAAUAAAGAAUGAAUACAUUUA